rnacentral:rRNA from 1 species
GGUGUCGGCUUAAGUGCCAUAACGAGCGCAACCCUCGCCGCCAGUUACUAGCAGGUAAUGCUGAGGACUCUGGCGGGACUGCCAUCGUAAGAUGUGAGGAAGGUGGGGAUGACGUCAAAUCAGCACGGCCCUUACGU